UACGAAGGGGGCUAGCGUUGUUCGGAUUUACUGGGCGUAAAGCGCUCGUAGGCGGUUUGGUCAGUUAGGGGUGAAAUCCUGGAGCUCAACUCCAGAACUGCCUUUAAUACUGCCAUUCUCGAGUCCGGAAGAGGUAAGUGGAACUCCUAGUGUAGAGGUGGAAUUCGUAGAUAUUAGGAAGAACACCAGUGGCGAAGGCGGCUUACUGGACCGGUACUGACGCUGAGGUGCGAAAGCGUGGGGAGCAAACAGG
rnacentral:rRNA from 1 species